UGGGGAAUUUUGCACAAUGGGGGAAACCCUGAUGCAGCGACGCCGCGUGAUUUAGAAGGCCUUCGGGUUGUAAAAAUCUUUUCUAUGGGAAGAAAAUGACAGUACCAUAGGAAUAAGGACCGGCUAAUUACGUGCCAGCAGCCGCGGUAAUACGUAGGUGGCAAGCGUUGUCCGGAUUUAUUGGGCGUAAAGCGAGCGCAGGCGGUCAAUUAAGUCUGAUGUGAAAGCCCCCGGCUCAACCGGGGAGGGUCAUUGGAAACUGGUUGACUUGAGUGCAGAAGAGGAGAGUGGAAUUCCAUGUGUAACGGUGAAAUGCGUAGAUAUAUGGAGGAACACCAGUGGCGAAGGCGACUCUCUGGUCUGUAACUGACGCUGAGGCUCGAAAGCGUGGGUAGCAAACAGG
rnacentral:rRNA from 1 species